rnacentral:rRNA from 1 species
UACGGGGGGGGGCAAGCGUUGUUCGGAAUUACUGGGCGUAAAGGGCUCGUAGGCGGCCAACUAAGUCAGACGUGAAAUCCCUCGGCUUAACCGGGGAACUGCAUCUGAUACUGGAUGGCUUGAGUUCGGGAGAGGGAUGCGGAAUUCCAGGUGUAGCGGUGAAAUGCGUAGAUAUCAGGAGGAACACCAAUAGCGAAGGCAGCUCGCUGGGACGUUACUGACACUGAGGCGCGAAAGCGUGGGGAGCGAACAGG